AUGAGAACAUGAUGUUGGUUCAGAUUAAAUGCUAUGUAGAAGCAUAACACAUGCAAGUUUAAAUAUAUAUAAUAAUAUAUAUUAGCGUAUAGGUGAGUGAAAAUAUAUAUGAACAUUUGAAUAAGAAUGAUAAAUAUAUAAUAGGAUGUAGGUAAUAGAGUAAUAUCUAGCCGUAGAACUAGAGCCAGUGAUUAAGGUCAGAAUGGUCACAAUAAGGAAACUUAUCUCUUAUAUAGAGCAGCAGUGAGGAAUAUUUGACAAUGAUCUAACGAUUGAUCAAGCUAUCUACAAGAAGGAUAUUAAUAAUAAGAUAACUUAUUAAUAAGUUAUUAAUACUCAUAAAUAUGAGUAUAUAUUUUUAUAUAAAUAUAUAUAAGAAUAAAAAUAAAUAAUAAAAGAUUAACUAUAAACUUCAGAUUUAAUUAGAAAUAAUGAUUUUAAUUAAAUAAUAGUCCUGACCAAAAUGAGUGCCAGCAGCUGCGGUUAUACUUAGUGGGCUAGCAUUAAUCAUAAUGGCUUAAAGCAUCAGUAGUAUGGUUUAUAUUUUUAUAUAAACUAGAAUAUAUUAGUAGGUUAUAUGAAAUAAUAUUUAAGGGAUAAAAUAUUAUGAAAAUAUUAUAACAGCAAAGAAAUAACUAAAAAUAUAUUGACAUUGUGAGAUGAAGGCUAUGGUUGCAAAAUGGAUUCGGUACCCAAUUAGUCAUAGCAGUUAACUAUGAAUACUAUAAAUAUUUCAAUAAAAUAAGAAAUAUAGAAAAAUUAAAAUGUAAAGUAUUCCGCCUGAAUAGUACGCUCGCAAGAGUGAAAUACAAGACAUUAGACGGUUGUAGUCUUAAGCAGUGGAACAUGUUGUUUAAUUGGAUGAUCCUCCUAGAACCUUACCAUCUCUUGAAUAUUUUACAGGCGUUACAUCGUUGUCGUCAGUUCAUGCUAUGAAGUAUUAUAUUAAGUUAUAAAAUGAACGUAACCCUUUUAUAUAUUUUAUAUAAUAUUUAUAUUAUAUAUAUAUAAUAACGUAGUAUAUUUAUUAUACUAGGAAGUCGAGGUUGAAGACUAAUCAUGAUGACCCUUAUGAGAUGGGCUAUAAACGUGUUACGAUGUUAUUGACAAUUAUAUUUAUAUUAAUAUAAAUAAAUUUAAACAAUAAGAUUAUAGUUAAUUAAUAAAUAUAUAUAUAUUUAUAUAUAAAUAUUUAAAUACUUUUAUAUGGAUUAUAAUCUGAAAUUCGAUUAUAUGAAAAAGGAAUUGCUAGUAAUCGUAAACAAGAGAGUUACGGUGAAAUUUAAUACUAUUUCGUACUAACCACUCAUCAACAGCUAGGAUAAAAUAUUAUAUACGUUUUCGGAAGAGCUU